rnacentral:sRNA from 1 species
GCCUGGGCUCGGAAUCCCGGCUCCUGGUCCUCACAGCCCUGAUUUGGACCAGAAUCUCAGGUGCUCAGAAGAAAGAUCCUGUUUAGUGAUGACCCAGCUCUACCUGCUGAAUGGACCUGCAGGAGCAGGCUACUACAGUGGAACUGUUUCUGUUUCAUCUGACAUCUGGAUAGAUGCCAGCCACCCCCACAUUCCAAGCAGUUUAAGUAUAGUGUGCCUGGGUCGGGUGCGGUGGCUCACGCCUGUAAUCCCAGCACUUUGGGAGGCCAAGGCCAGUGGAUCACCUGAGGUCAGAAGUUCAAGACCAACCUGGCCAACAUGGUGAAACCCCGUCUCCACUAAAAAAUCCAAAAAUUAGCCAGGCAUGGUGGCGCGUGCCUGUAAUCCCAGCUAUUCGGGAGACUGAGGCAGGAGAAUCGCUUGACCUUGGGGAGGCGGAGGUUGCAGUGAGCUGAGAUCGCGCACCACCGUACUCCAGCCUGGGUGACAAAGAAAAACUCCGUCUCAAAAAAUAAUAAUAAAAAAAAGUAUAGUGUG